rnacentral:miRNA from 1 species
AAAUCAGUGUACUUUCCUCAAAUGUCCCCAAUACACAUGUCCAUUAUAUAAAUAAAAAUAUAAAUAUAUAAAUGGUCAUUUUUAUUUAUAUAAUGGACAUGUGUAUUGGGGACAUUUGAGGAAAGUACACUGAUU